rnacentral:rRNA from 1 species
UGGUGGUGCAUGGCCGUUCUUAGUUGGUGGAGUGAUUUGUCUGGUUAAUUCCGAUAACGAACGAGACCUCAGCCAUUUAAAUAGCUGUCACUAAAUCUUUAGUGCUCACUUUGUGACAACAGCUUCUUAAAGGGACUAUCUGUUCCAGCAGAAGGAAGAUUGAGGCAAUAACAGGUCAGUGAUGCCCUUAGAUGCUCUGGGCUGCACGCGCGCUACAAUGACGCAUUCAACGAGUCGACCAAGUUCGAAAGAGCAAGGAAAGCUCAAAAGUGCGUCUAAGUUGGGACAGAUGAUUGUAAUUU